rnacentral:rRNA from 1 species
AGAACGAACGCUGGCGGCAUGCCUAACACAUGCAAGUCGAACGAUCUCUUCGGAGAUAGUGGCGCACGGGUGCGUAACGCGUGGGAAUCCGCCCUUGGGUUCGGAAUAACAGUUGGAAACGACUGCUAAUACCGGAUGAUGACGUUAAGUCCAAAGAUUUAUCGCCCAGGGAUGAGCCCGCGUAGGAUUAGCUAGUUGGUGAGGUAAAGGCUCACCAAGGCGACGAUCCUUAGCUGGUCUGAGAGGAUGAUCAGCCACACUGGGACUGAGACACGGCCCAGACUCCUACGGGAGGCAGCAGUGGGGGAAUAUUGGACAAAUGGGCGAAAGCCUGAUCCAGCAAUGCCGCGUGAGUGAUGAAGGCCUUAGGGUGUAAAGCUCUUUACCCGGGAUGAUAAUGACAGUACCGGGAGAAUAAGCUACCGGCUAACUCCGCGCCAGCAGCCGC